UUAAUUCUGCUUUUGCUAUAUAAUUUUGCAGCUUUAUUAUCUCUAACAAAAUACCAUUCACAGUAACAAAGACAUCAUUCUUGAAAAAAUCCAGCAAGAAGAGGACAAAAGAUAGGCUGGGGACAGCACUGGAGUGGAAUUCCUACUUUGCUCUUCUGUAACAUUUUCCAUUGUCAUUCUUGAAGUACUUCUACAAGGAUGAAUCAUUAUUUCAAUUUGCCUAUGGGAGAAACUGAGUCACCUAAAGAGGAAGUGAUUUGCCAUGCAGCAAGUUGGUGGCAGAGCCAAGGGCAAAGAACAAGGCUCUUCAUUUCCUGCCUGGUGCCCUCAUGACAUUAACUCAGUUUACAGCUCUGCCACAGUCUUCUUUAUGACCUUAGAGACAUCUGGAGAACAACUGUUCGCACUCCAGACAAACUCAGGGUGCGGAUGAGAGGAGAACUCAUGCCUCCACCUACUGCUCCCUACACAGUGUGCAUGAAUGAAAAAAAGCACUUCUUCCCCUGCCCUACCCAUUUGCACAUAGAGCCCUUCCAAACAUUUCCUCUGGGUUUCCUCCUUCAGGAUGGGCCCCUCAACCAUUCAUCGGCAUUCAUGAUUUCACCCAUCUGCCCCUCUAGUCAGCAGUAAUGCCUCCAACAGUUUCAUCAAAACGGCCAAUACCCAGGAAUACAGACAUCAUAAAGUGAGCAGGAAUUAUAUGACCUGAUCAGAGAUGACCACCCAAUUGAGAAUAUGCCAUGGACCAGUAUAAGUUAAAUAAACAUGGAUGUAUUAACUGCAGGAAGGGAUUCUGUUGCCUUUAUGAAGUCUCAGAGCUAUGAACUAGGAUGGUUCA